GAUGAACGCUGGCGGCGUGCUUAACACAUGCAAGUCGAACGAUGAAGCUGGAGCUUGCUCUGGUGGAUUAGUGGCGAACGGGUGAGUAACACGUGAGCAACCUGCCCCUGACUCUGGGAUAACAGCCGGAAACGGCUGCUAAUACCGGAUAUGCACCAUGAACGCAUGUUCUGUGGUGGGAAAGAUUUUUCGGUUGGGGAUGGGCUCGCGGCCUAUCAGCUUGUUGGUGAGGUAAUGGCUCACCAAGGCGUCGACGGGUAGCCGGCCUGAGAGGGUGACCGGCCACACUGGGACUGAGACACGGCCCAGACUCCUACGGGAGGCAGCAGUGGGGAAUAUUGCACAAUGGGUGAAAGCCUGAUGCAGCAACGCCGCGUGAGGGAUGACGGCCUUCGGGUUGUAAACCUCUUUUAGCAGGGAAGAAGCGAGAGUGACGGUACCUGCAGAAAAAGCGCCGGCUAACUACGUG
rnacentral:rRNA from 1 species